rnacentral:misc_RNA from 1 species
ACAGUUUCCUUCCUUUUAUUUAAAUCAGUUGUAGGCUCUGACUUUGGCACACGAACCCCCGACCUUUUGUCACAGGACCUUUGUGCCUCGGCUAUCUCGGCUUACGAUGCUUAUUAAAAUUAGAAUUUUAGAAUGGCAUCGAAGGAAAAUGUCAACAAAACAACAUGUCCGAGGGGAGUUGUAAUCAAGAAAUUAUCGAUGAUCGAGACAUUUAUUAUUCCUUUUCUUUACAGGAGAACCCUUACGAAGAUGGAGUACAGUUGGAAACACCAUCGGAAAGAGAAGCUCCACUGACUAGUAAUUUUCAGGGUUCCAGAUCAUGUACUACUUCAACAAGCCAAUUUCUUGAUGACACUCCUCUUGGAUAUGCACAAUUCCAAACAAUUGAUGAUCCUGUUGAUAACUCUGAACAAUGGGAUAUGAAUUAUCAUGAAUCAUCUAUUUUCCUGGAAGAAGGUGAAAACAAUGACAAGUUUACAUUUCAUCCUAGAAAUCGAGAUGCUCUCCCAGCAUAUAACUUGGUUCACAAUCAGAUUUUUUAUUUUUGUGAUCUUGUCGCUUCAGUUGCGCUCUUGAGCUUAGCAUUAACAGAAAAACCUGCUGUUGCAGGUUUUGCUGUCUCAGAAUGGAUUCAUGCCACAAUUGAGUUGGUAUGUCUUUCUCUGAUGUGUGGGGAAAUUUUUCUGAAAAUUCGAUGGAUGGGAAAUCAAGCCUUUUUUCGCCAUAAAAGAAGUGUGAUUAAGCUUGUGGUUUUAGUCAUCAUGAUUGUAGAAGCAUUCGUUGUUGCAGUCCGUCAAACCAGCCAUUUUCGUGUAACUCGUGCAUUGCGACCAGUUUUUUUAAUUGACAAUCAUUAUUGUAAAGGUAUCCGCAGAGUAAUUAGACAGAUUAUACAAUCUUUGCCACCUAUUCUUGACAUGAUGUCAUUGCUCUUGUUCUUUAUGCUUAUCUUUGCAGUUUUAGGAUUUUACAUUUUUCGUUCAGUCGAAGAAGAUACAUAUUUCACAAGUUUUGGCAACAGCUUUGUUAGCAUGUUUGUUCUUUUAACCACUGCUAAUUACCCAGAUGUUAUGAUGCCUUCAUAUGCUGCAUCUAAGUGGUCAUGCCUUUUCUUCAUCACAUUCAUCAUCAUCCAUGUGUAUUUUUUGAUGAAUUUAAUGCUUGCAGUUGUAUAUGAAACCUUUAUAAGAAUUGAGAAAGACAAGUUUCGUAAAUUAUUAUUACAUCGACGCAAGGCAUGCCAACAUGCAUUUAGAUUGCUUGUUACUAGAAAUUCUCCAUUGCAAAUGAGUUUUCGACAUUUUGAAGGACUCAUGAAAUAUUUUAAACCUAAAAAUAGUAAAUUGGACAAUUAUUUGAUGUUUAAGACUGUAGACAUAAAUAAAACUGGCUAUUUGACCAUGAAUGAAUUUUUAAAUGUGUUUGAAGUUAGUCCUUUAAAGUGGAAGCCUAAAAGACAAGAUGAUCUUUGGUUUGUUCAUUUAAAGGGAGUACCCCUUAUGUUUUUCAAAGGUCUUAACAAGGUGGUAACACAUCAAACAACUGAUUUUAUUGUUAAUGCUGUCGUUGCUCUUAAUGGACUAUGGCAAAUUGUGGAAGCCUCAGAAUUGUUUGGUUCACAACAACCCAAGGAGGCUUACUAUGAAGAAUGUGAUGAUGUAAGGUGUGACAUUCGCCAAAAUAUUUAUGGAUGGGUAUCUAUUGGUUUUGUAACUUUUUAUACAGUAGAAGUAUCAAUAAAAAUUAUUGGCUUAGGAAUCGCAGAAUAUCUAAGUUCGAAAUGGAAUAGGUUUGACUUAGGAGUUACUGUUCUAGCAUUAUGUGGCCUAAUAGCUGAACAAUUCCGUUGCCCUUUCUCUUAUGUUACAAUUCUUCGAUCACUUAGGCUGUUGAGGUUAUUCAAGCUGAAAAAAAGAUAUCGUGAUGUUUUGGGAACACUAUUUAUCAUUUUACCUCGAUUUUUAAGUGUUGCAUUAGUGUUGGUUAUUUUGUAUUAUUUCUUUGGAAUUAUUGGAAUGGAAAUAAUGUCUGGCUACGAUCUUGUUAACUGUUGCAAAAACACAACUGUUGAACAGUAUUAUCGAUAUGACAAUGACAGUUCUUUAGAUGGAUAUUAUUACCUAAAUAACUUCAACAAUUUUCUAUUUAGUCAAGUUACUUUAUUUGAAUUGAUGGACGUCAAUGAUUGUUUCGCGAUAAUGGAGGGUUAUGCCCUUGUUGUAUCUCAAUGGACAAGGCUAUAUUUCAUGUUUUUCUAUUUAGUAACAAUGGUAAAUAUUUAAACAUUUUUUUUAUCAACUCAUCAUCUGUGUCAAAUCAACUCCUCCAUGAUUUCAACAACCCUGCUGUGUGUUUUCGUCAUUUUCCUAGUUGUAAUCAACAUUGUCGUAGCUUUUGUAUUGGAAUCUUUUCUGUUCAGGAUACAAUAUAAACGUGCGACAGGUGACAUGGACAAGGACACUUUAGUCAGAGUUGAUAUUGGGU